AGAGAGCUAGGUGGCUUAUAAACCCUUUUGGAAUGAAAGAAUUAGGCAAUGUGGGACUCCAAGCACCUAGGGAUACUUUUGUAGCUGCUGGCCAGCUCUUGGAGCCUUCCAAGUCCCACAUUGCUUGAAACUCUUCACCAAACUCCUUCCAAAAGCUAUAUAAGUAAGCCUAGGGGUUCUCCUUUGUACCUUACCUUGAAUUGAAUUGAAUUUGAGUUGAUUUGCACCUUUCCAAUCCUCUUUUGAGAUAGUUCUCUGUCUCUAAAGUGUCUCUUUGGGCAGACCUUAUCUUGCUCAAGCAAGUGGCGGUCCUUCCUUGAUGCUUACCUUGGAGCCUUCUUCAAGUGGCGCAUCUUCAAGUCAUAAGUUUCCUUUUCUCUACUAUUUUCCACUUUUAAUUUCUCUCAAUUUCUUCUAUACCAUUUUAGAAUAUUCUCUCUAGGUAUGCACUUCCCCAUCACAGCGUGUGCACACCAAAAUUAAUUUCAAGCUUUUCUAAAUAGGAGUAAGUGUUGGAACAAAACGAAAGUUGAAAAUGUGCUACAUUGCCGCAUGAAUCAACGUAUAAAACCCAAAAUCCAAGCUGGACAUCCCGCCUACUUUGGUG
rnacentral:lncRNA from 1 species